UACGGAAGGCAGCAGUGGGGAAUAUUGCACAAUGGGCGCAAGCCUGAUGCAGCCAUGCCGCGUGUAUGAAGAAGGCCUUCGGGUUGUAAAGUACUUUCAGCGGGGAGGAAGGUGUUGUGGUUAAUAACCGCAGCAAUUGACGUUACCCGCAGAAGAAGCACCGGCUAACUCCGUGCCAGCAGCCGCGGUAAUACGGAGGGUGCAAGCGUUAAUCGGAAUUACUGGGCGUAAAGCGCACGCAGGCGGUCUGUCAAGUCGGAUGUGAAAUCCCCGGGCUCAACCUGGGAACUGCAUUCGAACUGGCAGGCUAGAGUCUUGUAGAGGGGGUAGAAUUCCAGGUGUAGCGGUGAAAUGCGUAGAGAUCUGGAGGAAUACCGGUGGCGAAGGCGGGCCCCUGGGACAAAGACUGACGCUCAGGUGCGAAAGCGUGGGGAGCAAACAGGAUUAGGAUAACC
rnacentral:rRNA from 1 species